rnacentral:rRNA from 1 species
UACGGAGGGUGCAAGCGUUAUCCGGAUUCACUGGGUUUAAAGGGUGCGUAGGCGGACUAAUAAGUCAGUGGUGAAAGCCUGAUGCUUAACAUCAGAAUUGCCAUUGAUACUGUUAGUCUUGAGUAUGGUUGAGGUGGGCGGAAUGUGUCAUGUAGCGGUGAAAUGCUUAGAUAUGACACAGAACACCAAUUGCGAAGGCAGCUCGCUAAGCCAUAACUGACGCUGAGGCACGAAAGCGUGGGGAGCAAACAGG